UCAAAAUAGCUCAGUUGGUAGUACAUAAGAUUCUAACUCUCAGGGUCAUGGGUUCAAGCCCUGUGUUGAGCAAAA